AGUUACAAAUUUGAAACUAUACCAGAAGCGCUUGUGGCAUGGCCCUGUCAGAUUCCAAUGAAUCUGUGAAUUCUGCU
rnacentral:ribozyme from 1 species